AUGGAUCUACUUCUGCCGCUCAUCUCGCUUUUAUUGGUCGCUGGCGGAGGAGGCGGGUGGCUUGGGAGCUUCGUCGACGCGGCCACGACAGCGGUGCCAAACUUGGAGGAGGUAUCAUCGGCGGCGUACUGGGAGGCAGUGCUUCCUGGAACUCCAAUGCCUCCAGCUAUCAUCAACCUGCUGUUAGCCCAACAAAACGUUCACACCUCUCCAGAUGAUAUUAUUAUUAAUGCAAAUAACCUCAAGUCUGGCAAAGGAACACGGAAAAUUGGAUCAUACUAUGAAAAACUCAAGUUGGAACCUGCCCAUGAGGAUAAACAUGUUCAUAUUUCAUCACAAGUUGAAGAAGAAGCAGGCAAAAUAUUUGCAACACAUAGAACAAACAUGGGAGAAAAUAUAAAGGAAAUAUUAGUGUCAUAUGGGUUAGAAGGCAAGACAUACUUAAACAAAGUUCUCCCAAACUUAAAGAAGAUCUUUGCAACAUAUAAGCCAAGGAAACAAGACAAUAUAAAGGAAAUAUCUAUAUCAUAUGGAUCAAAAGGUGGAAAGGAUGAAACAGAAGUCUCACGGGCAUAUGGGUUAGAAGGUGAAAAGGAGUUGAAAGAAAUAUCUUUGUCUUAUGGGGUAGAAGGCGAGGAUGUUUUAAAGGAAAUCUCUGUGUCAUAUGAGGUAGAAGUCAGGAAGAGUCUAAAGGGAGCACCUGUUUCAUAUGGGAAAGAACAAGAAGGAAAGUUGAAGGAAAUCUCCAUGUCAUAUGGGUUGGACGAAGGCAAAUGUGAUUACAAUAAAUUCUUGAACCGAGAUGCAGAGGAUCCACAUAAAGCUACAAUGUCAUAUGGAUCUGAACAUGAAGAGGAUCCACAUAAAGCUACAAUGUCAUAUGGAUCGGAAAUUGAAGAGGAUCCACAUAAAGCUACAGUGUCAUAUGGAUCUGAACAUGAAGAUGAUCCACAUAAAGCUACAAUGUCAUAUGGAUCAGAAAAUGAAGAGGAUCCACAUAAAGCUACAGUGUCAUAUGGAUCUGAACAUGAAGAUGAUCCACAUAAAGCUACAAUGUCAUACGGGUCAGAACAUGAAGAGGAUCCAUAUAAAGCCACCAUGUCAUAUGGGUCAGGACAUGAAAAGGAUCUAAAGACAUUUUCAACAGGACAUGCGACACAUUUAAAAGGAGAGGGGAGUCACCAUGCUCACUCUCACGAGCACGGGAACAAAAAACAGGCAGACGUUUUCUUCUUCCACGACAUGUUGCGGCCAGGUUCUGUGAUAACUCCAACCAUCCCACUGACAACCUCCUUGCCGGCCCGUCUUCCCCACGGCAUUGCCAAAUCCAUCCCGUUCUCCAAGGAGCGCCUCUCCGACAUCAUGGCGAUAUUUGCACCGGCGUCGCUCGCGAUGGCCAGAGAGAUACGAUGGACGCUGGACACCUGCGACCACCCGCGGCCGCUUCCCGGCCAAAAAGCAGGCUGCGCCACCUCCCUCGAGUCCCUCGCCGAGCUAGCAGCAUCCCUUCAUGGGACGCAUAACGUCCGUGCGUUCUCGGCUGCCAAUCUGCCCGUCGAUGCCGAAGGCACGCCAGCGUUGCGCGGGAUGUACAACGUGACGGCGGUGCGUAAGCUCUCCGACUCACCGGAGAUCGUGACCUGCCAUGAUCUGACGUACCCAUACACGGUGUACUAUUGCCACACCGCCAACCCUACCUCCGCGUACACGGUCACCCUUGAGAGCGUGGAUGGCGCAAUGGCGCCGGCGGUGAUGGAGGCUCUAGCCGUGUGCCACCUUGACACGUCGCGGUGGAGCCCGAAGAACCCGUUCUUUGAGCUGCACAACCUCAAGCCGGGGGAUGUCGCCGUGUGCCAUUUCCUUACUAAGCUCAGCAUCAUCUGGGUGCGUGGUGGUGAGCAGGGAGACACACAUGCGGCAGCCCGUUAG
rnacentral:rRNA from 1 species